UGCCAGCCGCCGCGGUAAUACGGAGGGGGUUAGCGUUGUUCGGAAUUACUGGGCGUAAAGCGCGCGUAGGCGGAUUGGAAAGUUGGGGGUGAAAUCCCGGGGCUCAGCCCCGGAACUGCCUCCAAAACUGCCAGUCUAGAGUUCGAGAGAGGUGAGUGGAACUCCAAGUGUAGAGGUGAAAUUCGUAGAUAUUUGGAAGAACACCAGUGGCGAAGGCGGCUUUCUGGACAGUGACUGACGCUGAGGCGCGAAAGCGUGGGUAGCAAACAGGAUUAGAUA
rnacentral:rRNA from 1 species